AGGGGUGGAGGGGCCCAGCCUCCCCCUGCCCAACGCCUGAGCACUACUGGGCUGCGCUGGCAGAAGAGACGUCUCUAGGUCUGUGAGGGUCAUCGCUGCUGAGUAUUUCUCCUGCUGCAGAUUCCGACGGACUGUGAGAGAAGAAAGAACUGUUGUCCCAGAACCUGCUCAGGGCUGACAAACUCAGGGACACCAGGCUCUUGGAAUGAACGGGGCAGUGACAGGCUAAUGAGAUGUCAGCAGAGGGGACUUUCUGCACAGGGCUGAAGGUGGGAACCUCUCCCAGCCCCACAACCCCAACACAUCAGGUCUAUUCUCUCUACACCUUCUGCUGCCCUGGGUCUCCUAGACAGCUGCCCUGGCAUCAGGCUCUAGGAGCCAUCUCUGCCAGCUUCACCUUGUGGCCUUGGCUGACACGAGCUGACCAUCCUGGCCCCUUGUGCUUAGGGGUGCGAUGCUCCAGGUGUGAGCUGUCCUGUCUGCACUGUGGCUGGUGUCUUGUCAGCAGGAGUCCAGGCAGGUGGUAGCAGCUACUCUGCAAGGACACCAUAAAUCUAUGAGCUGAGAAUUGAUUCAGAGUUCAGACAGAGGCCUGGACAAAAACGCUCCUCACUAGGGAAGCCACAGGCUUGGAUAGGGCGGACCAGCUGGCUUUGCCCAUCUGGACCAGCAUGCUGCCUCCCGGGCCCAGGAAUGAGGCUCCUGGGAGAUGAUCUGACAAUGAAUGGUAUAACGAGAUCUCCCUUCUGUGGUGGUGGCUCCAUCCAGUGGUCCACGCAAGGGCUGGCUCCUGUGGGCCUCCUGCCUGACAUGGCCCGGGACGUGGCCCUUCUUCCCCAGGAUGGAAAGGCUGCCAGGUGCGGCGACGACUUCCUCUGGUGCUCCUUGGAGGCUGCUCGGUAGAAUGGAGUGAGCACAGGCUUUGGAGUCAGAGUUCUGGGGUCAAAUUUCAAUUUGCCCACUUGCUCUGUAGCCUUAGGCUGGACACUUAAUCUCUCCACGCUUCAACUUCCCCAGCUGUGGAAAUGGAUACAAUAGCAUCACCUCGCAGGGUGUUGUGGAGAUCAAGAAACACCCAAGACAUGAAAGCCCCCAUUCCUCCCACAACCCCACUCAGGGCUGCCACACACACCUUCCACAAGUUGGAGGCCUGAAGACAGAGCCAUUUGCCAGCUGCUUCCCAAACACUCAGGAUGGCAGGUAGACAGGACAGCACAGCAGCCCCUCACAGCCAGUUUCUCCUUCUCACCCCAGCUCACAGCAGCUCUGCCUGCGCCCCGGGGCCCUCAGUGGCCGGCAGCCUCCAUAGGGUGGAAGAUGGUCGCUCCAGUCAGGUCAAGUGAGGGCAGCCUAAGCGCUCUGUCUGCUGAGCCAGAAUCUGGGGCCACAGCCAGUCUCAGAGCCUGCAGCCUCUUAGGCUUUCUCCAUUUAUCCCCAUCAAGCAUCCGCAGCAUCAGUGAUGGCUGCAGUUCUGAGUCCAGACUUUCCAUUUGCGCUCAAGGGCAGAUCAGAUGAUUGUCAGCCACAAAGCAGUGACCUAGACCUUGGGGUCUGUUUGUUUUUGCUGCAGGCUAACUUCUAUUCCCUCCCUGGCUAUAACACAGGAGGGGAAAAUCAUCGCUGCAAGGACAGAUCCCUCCCCAGCCACCGGCACUUUGCUCUUCCAAUUCCCCAGGCUCCGUUCUACUGGAAUAUUUUUUCUCAGCUAAACUCUUCUCUCACCUUCUUUCACCCCCACACUGUUGCAGCUGCUUAAAUGUUUCCAAUCUUUUUUUGCACAUUUUGGCACACGUAGAAAAUGAUUCGCCUGUAAGGCUUACUGAGGUAGUUGGAGGGGGCCGG
ensembl:lncRNA